CUACGGGAGGCAGCAGUGGGGAAUCUUGGACAAUGGGGGAAACCCUGAUCCAGCCAUGGCCGCGUGAGUGAUGAAGGCCCUAGGGUUGUAAAGCUCUUUCACCGGUGAAGAUAAUGACGGUAGCCGGAGAAGAAGCCCCGGCUAACUCCGUGCCAGCAGCCGCGGUAAUACGGAGGGGGCUAGCGUUGUUCGGAAUUACUGGGCGUAAAGCGCACGUAGGCGGGUAUCCAAGUUGGGGGUGAAAUCCCGGGGCUCAACCCCGGAACUGCCUCCAAAACUGGGUACCUAGAGUCCGAGAGAGGUGAGUGGAAUUCCCAGUGUAGAGGUGAAAUUCGUAGAUAUUGGGAAGAACACCAGUGGCGAAGGCGGCUCACUGGCUCGGUACUGACGCUGAGGUGCGACAGCGUGGGGAGCAAACAGGAUUAGAUACCCUGGUAGUCCACGCCGUAAACGAUGAGAGCUAGUUGUCGGGCAGCAUGCUGUUCGGUGACGCAGCUAACGCAUUAAGCUCUCCGCCUGGGGAGUACGGUCGCAAGAUUAAAACUC
rnacentral:rRNA from 1 species